rnacentral:rRNA from 1 species
CGGUGAUAUAAUUAAACGGCUGCAGUACUCUGACUGUGCAAAGGUAGCAUGAUCAAUUGUCUGGUAAUUCCAGUCUGGUAUGAAUGGUUAGACGAUAGGAACGCUGUCUUUUUCUCUUUUGUUGAAAUUGACUACCAGGUGCGGAGGCCUGGAUUGGAGAGUGGGACGAGAAGACCCUGUAGAGCUUUAACUUUAGCUAUAAAAUCAUUGUUAUGGUGUGUGUUUUAGUUGGGGCAACUAUUCUUAUUAUUAAACAUUUAUAGUAAUCUAGUAAAUUUAAUUUGUGUGGACCCUAAAUUUUUAGGUAGUUAGAAAAAGUUACCUUAGGGAUAACAGCGUAAUUUCUCUUGAGAGUUCUUAUUAA